rnacentral:rRNA from 1 species
AAACAUAGCCGGUAGUUAUUAUAUUAUCGGUGCAGCCUGCCCGGUGAAUUUUUAACGGCCGCAGUACUAUGACUGUGCAAAGGUAGCAUAAUCAUUUGACUUUUAAUUGAAGUCUAGUAUGAAAGGAAAAAACGUAUAUAAGCUGUAUCUAUAAAUAAAUUUAUCUAAAUUAUUUAUAGGGUGAAAAUACCCUAAAUAAAAAAAAUAGACGAGAAGACCCUUAGAAUUUUAAGAAAAGCCAUAAAUUUAAUAUGGGGUGAUUUUUGUUGGGGCAACAUUUUUUCAUUAAAUAAAAAAAUUAACAUUAUAAUAUAACGAAAAAGUUUAAUAAAGAAAAAAUUACCUUAGGGAUAACAGCAUAAUUUUAAGUAAAGAUUGUGACCUCGAUGUUGGAUUAGGAACUCCUAAGGCUAGUCGUUUUAGUAUAAUAAGUUCUGUUCGAACUUUGUUUCCUA